CUUCUAUGAGUUGGGGGAGUGCUAUUUUGGCCUGUUUAUAUAGACGUUUGUGCAAAGCGUCAUAUUCAAAGGCGAAUGAGAUAUGUGGUCCGCUAGUAUUAUUGCAGUUGUGGGCUUGGGAACGGUUACCCACCAUUCAACCCAUCCGACGCACUGAUGAAGUCGAUUUCACUCGCCCUUAUGGAUCGAGGUGGAAUGUGGAGUUUGGAGUGACUAGAGUUCCGAUGCAUGUUUUGCCUGCCUAUCGAGAUGCAUUCGCCAGUCUACAACCUA